GGCAUGCCUAACACAUGCAAGUCGAACGGUAACAGGUCUUCGGAUGCUGACGAGUGGCGCACGGGUGAGUAACGCGUGGAUAUCUGCCUAUGAGUGGGGGACAACUUUCGGAAACGAAAGCUAAUACCGCAUAAUCUCUACGGAGCAAAGCAGGGGACCUUUCGGGGCCUUGUGCUUAUAGAUGAGUCCGCGUCAGAUUAGCUAGUUGGUGGGGUAAGAGCCUACCAAGGCGAUGAUCUGUAGCUGGUUUGAGAGGAUGAUCAGUCACACUGGAACUGAGACACGGUCCAGACUCCUACGGGAGGCAGCAGUGGGGAAUUUUGCACAAUGGGCGCAAGCCUGAUGCAGCGAUGCCGCGUGUGGGAAGAAGGCCUUUGGGUUGUAAACCACUUUCAAUUGGGAAGAAGGGAUGAGUAUUAAUAAUACUCUGACUUGACGGUACCUUUAGAAGAAGCACCGGCUAAUUUCGUGCCAGCAGCCGCGGUAAUACGAAAGGUGCAAGCGUUGUUCGGAUUUACUGGGCGUAAAGAGAUCGUAGGUGGUUUGUUAAGUUAGAUGUGAAAUCCCGGGGCUCAACCUCGGAACUGCAUCUAAAACUGGCAGACUUGAGUUCGGGAGGGGUAAGCGGAAUUCCGUGUGUAGCAGUGAAAUGCGUAGAUAUACGGAGGAACACCUGAGGCGAAGGCGGCUUACUGGACCGAUACUGACACUGAGGAUCGAAAGCGUGGGUAGCAAACAGGAUUAGAUACCCUGGUAGUCCACGCCCUAAACGAUGUCAACUAGCCGUUGCGGGUAUCGACCCCUGCAGUGGCGCAGCUAACGCGAUAAGUUGACCGCCUGGGGAGUAC
rnacentral:rRNA from 1 species